rnacentral:rRNA from 1 species
AUUGAACGCUGGCGGCAGGCUUAACACAUGCAAGUCGAGCGGGGAAGGUUGCUUUGGUAACUGACCUAGCGGCGGACGGGUGAGUAAUGCUUAGGAAUCUGCCUAUUAGUGGGGGACAACAUUCCGAAAGGAAUGCUAAUACCGCAUACGCCCUACGGGGGAAAGCAGGGGAUCUUCGGACCUUGCGCUAAUAGAUGAGCCUAGGUCGGAUUAGCCAGUUGGUGGGGUAAAGGCCUACCAAGGCGACGAUCUGUAGCGGGUCUGAGAGGAUGAUCCGCCACACUGGGACUGAGACACGGCCCAGACUCCUACGGGAGGCAGCAGUGGGGAAUAUUGGACAAUGGGCGGAAGCCUGAUCCAGCCAUGCCGCGUGUGUGAAGAAGGCCUUUUGGUUGUAAAGCACUUUAAGCGAGGAGGAGGCUCCUUCAGUUAAUACCUAAAGAGAGUGGACGUUACUCGCAGAAUAAGCACCGGCUAACUCUGUGCCAGCAGCCGCGGUAAGAC